CAUCUACUCCCUUCGUUCCAAAUUACUCGUCGCAGAAAUGGAUGUAUCUAGAACUAAAAUACAUGUAGAUACAUGCAGUUCUCUGACGAGUAAUUCGAAACGGAGGGAGUAGUUG
rfam:Triticum urartu cultivar G1812 contig922595, whole genome shotgun sequence.